GCCUCUUGCAACCCACAUAUAAGAGGUAACGCCUGCCCAGUGACCAUGUGUUCAACGGCCGCGGUAUUCUGACCGUGCAAAGGUAGCGUAAUCACUUGUCUUUUAAAUAAAGACUAGUAUGAAUGGCAUCACGAGAGUUCAACUGUCUCCCCCACCCAAUCAGUGAAACUGAUCUCCCCGUGCAGAAGCGGGGAUAAAACCAUAAGACGAGAAGACCCCAUGGAGCUUUAAACUAAAGGCACUAGCUCUUAAUUUACCCCAAGGACAAAACAUUAAACCAGUUAAAGUGACCUGUCGUUUUCGGUUGGGGCGACCACGGAGAAGAACAAAUCCUCCGAGAUGAAAGGGUAAACCCUUAGCCAAGACCCACAAUUCUAAGCAAUAGAACAUCUAACGCACCGAUCCAAUCAAAUUGAUCAACGAACCAAGUUACCCUGGGGAUAACAGCGCAAUCUAUUUUCAGAGUUCAUAUCGACAAAUAGGUUUACGACCUCGAUGUUGGAUCAGGGCCUCCUAGCGGUGCAGCCGCUGCUAAGGGUUCGUUUGUUCAACGAUUAAAGCCCUACGUG
rnacentral:rRNA from 1 species